rnacentral:rRNA from 1 species
UACGUAGGGUGCAAGCGUUAAUCGGAAUUACUGGGCGUAAAGCGUGCGCAGGCGGUUCGCUAAGACCGAUGUGAAAUCCCCGGGCUUAACCUGGGAACUGCAUUUGUGACUGGCGGGCUAGAGUAUGGCAGAGGGGGGUAGAAUUCCACGUGUAGCAGUGAAAUGCGUAGAGAUGUGGAGGAAUACCGAUGGCGAAGGCAGCCCCCUGGGCCAAUACUGACGCUCAUGCACGAAAGCGUGGGGAGCAAACAGG